UACGUAGGGGGCAAGCGUUGUCCGGAUUUAUUGGGCGUAAAGAGCGUGUAGGCGGCCUGAAAGGUCAGCUGUGAAAACUCGAGGCUCAACCUCGAGACGUCGGUUGAAACCAUCUGGCUAGAGUCCGGAAGAGGAGUGUGGAAUUCCCGGUGUAGCGGUGAAAUGCGUAGAGAUCUGGAGGAAUACCGGUGGCGAAGGCGGCCCCCUGGACAAAGACUGACGCUCAGGUGCGAAAGCGUGGGGAGCAAACAGG
rnacentral:rRNA from 1 species